AGGAUUCCCCUAGUAACUGCGAGUGAAGCGGGAAGAGCUCAAAUUUAAAAUCUAGUGGUUUCACCGCUCGAGUUGUAAUCUGGAGAAGUGUUUUCCGCGUCGGACCGUGUACAAGUCUCUUGGAACAGAGCUUCAUAGAGGGUGAGAGUCCCGUCCAUGACACGGAUUACCGAUGCUUUGUGAUACGCUCUCAAAGAGUCGAGUUGUUUGGGAAUGCAGCUCAAAAUGGGUGGUAAAUUCCAUCUAAAGCUAAAUAUUGGCGAGAGACCGAUAGCGAACAAGUACCGUGAGGGAAAGAUGAAAAGCACUUUGGAAAGAGAGUUAAACAGUACGUGAAAUUGUUGAAAGGGAAACGCUUGAAGUCAGUCGCGUCUGCUGGAACUCAGCCUUGCUCUUGCUUGGUGUACUUUCUGGUUGACGGGUCAACAUCAAUUUCGGCCGGCGGAUAAAGGUUGAGGGAAUGUGGCAUCUUCGGAUGUGUUAUAGCCCUCUUCUAUACUCUGGCUGGGAUUGAGGACUGCAGCACGCCUUUUGGCCGGGGGUUCGCCUCACGUAACGUGCUUAGGAUGUUGGCAUAAUGGCUUUAAGCGACCCGUCUUGAAACACGGACCAAGGAGUCUAACAUGCUCGCGAGUGUUAGGGUGGAAAACCCUUGCGCAUAAUGAAAGUGAAAGUUGGGACCCUUCGCGGGGGCACCGACGCCCGGCCCUGAAGUUUACUGACGGUGCCGCGGUAGAGCGCGUAUGUUGGGACCCGAAAGAUGGUGAACUAUGCCUGAAUAGGGUGAAGCCAGGGGAAACUCUGGUGGAGGCUCGUAGCGAUUCUGACGUGCUAAAUCGAUGCGUCAAAUUUGGGUAUAGGGGCGAA
rnacentral:rRNA from 1 species